CCUACGGGGUGCAGCAGUGGGGAAUAUUGGACAAUGGGGGAAACCCUGAACCAGCGAUGCCGCGUGAGGGAUGAAGUAUUUCGGUAUGUAAAGCUCUAUCAGCAGGGAAGAAAGAAAUGACGGUACUUGAUUAAGAAGCCCCGGCUAACUACGUGCCAGCAGCCGCGGUAAUACGUAGGGGGCAAGCGUUAUCCGGAUUUACUGGGUGUAAAGGGGGUGUAGGCGGUUACGUAAGUCUGGAGUGAAAGCCGGGGGCUCAACCCCCGGACUGCUUUGGAAACUGGUUAACUGGAGUGUAGGAGAGGUAAGUGGAAUUCCUAGUGUAGCGGUGAAAUGCGUAGAUAUUAGGAAGAACACCAGAGGCGAAGGCGGCUUACUGGACUGUAACUGACGCUGAGGCUCGAAAGCGUGGGGAGCAAACAGGAUUAGAUACCCUAGUAGUC
rnacentral:rRNA from 1 species